UAUACAGCUUCCUUCUUAACCACAGUCUUGUUUUAUUUGUGUAAAAACAAUACGUUUUACUAUAAACAUGGGAUUUUGUGCUUCUUUUGGCCGUAUUAUACUAAUUCUUUUAAAUGUUAUAAUCCUGCUCGUAGCUGUGGCAUUGACCGCGGUGGGAGUUAUCUUAAAAUUCUUUCCCGGUAAAAUAUUUAACGUCUUAUUGAACGUUAUAACAUCGUCGCUAGUCAGCACUCUACCGUUUCAUAUUCCUGAUACACUAGAGUUCUUGCCCCUUGUAGAUGAUCUGGGUGUUGCCCUGAUAGCCAUUGGAUGUUUUCUGUUUAUCAUUUCAUUUUUCGCUUGUUGUGGAGCUUGCUGUAAAUGGAGAAUAUUUUUGAUUGUGUUUGUAAUAUUCAUGUCAGUAAUUAUAAUAACCCAGGCAGUGGUUGGUGGUCUUUUUAUUGCUAAAGAUUCUCCGAUUCAUAAAACAAUAAAAACUAAUUUAAAGAACGAAUUACAGUCGGAUUACACCGGUUCACUUGGUGAAGACAUGUUUUCACUUCUACUCAAUCUGCUCAUGUUCAAGAUGGAAUGUUGUGGUAUUGAAGCUCCAGAUGACUUCUCGACAGCCCAUAACUGGAAGGAAUCAUUCCAAGACGUAAUAAUAAAUAAUGCCAAAGUUCCUGCAGCUUGUUGUAACCAAACUAUAUUCUCGCAUUUACCACUCUUACAGAAUUGCGUUGUUAAUGGCGACGUCAAAUACAUAAAUUCGAUGGGUUGUUAUUAUAGACUAUAUGAGUAUGUAGAUGAUAACAGACUGUAUGCUAUAUUAGGAUUAUGUGCAGUUCUACUGAUACAGAUUAUUCUAGUGGUGUUUGGUAUAGUGUUAAUAAAACAGAUUAAUGACCAAAAGAUAUUACCAAUCUAAAUGUAGCGGGGGGGGGGGGGGGCUAAAUCUAUUUGUUAAGGCCAGCUCAAUUUUUUGUCAAGGUCGCUGAGAUGCAAACAAGGUUAGGGCACGUGAUUGUUGGCGAGAUUGUAGGUUAGGGUUAUGGUAAGCAUUGGGGCUAGGUCCAGGGUUAGGGUUGGGAUUAGCGCUAGCCCUGUUUACAUCUCGUGACCUAUGACGAAAAAUUGAGCUGGCCUUAUCAUUUAGUACUAACCGUGUAGUGGAGGCUCAGAAAAUUAGUGACUGUGAUACUAAAACAACCAAAAAACAAACAGACACAUAUCAUGGUAUUUAUUGUUGGAUGAUGGCUGUCGCUCAAUUAUUCCCUAAUCAUUUUCAAAACUAUAUGUAAAUGUCUCCAUAGGAUUUUUUGAUUUGAUUGAUGGCCUGGACCAGUGGUUCUCAACCAGUGUGCCGCGAGAUCUUUCUAAUCGUGCCGUGAAAUUUUGAACAGCACACUUAGAAAAUGCGAAAAACCACGUGAUCCCAAUUGAGUAUUCCCUGGUGUCUACUGAUGAGGUUUUCUUUAUUUAGUUUGAGUCAUUCUAUAUGUCUAUAACUAGUAUCUGUCUACGGUUGUAUGUCGUCUGACUUGCCAUGUUUUUUUUGUGCAAAAUUCAGAUAUUUUUCAUAUAUAUAUUUAGCCAGGUGUGCCGCUAUUUUUCCAUGUGUUCCAAGGUGUGCCGUUGGCAAAAAAGGGCUGAGAACCACUGGACUGGACCCACUUAUAUAUUAGCACAUUUGAAACAAUCUAGAUUAUAACAUGUGUUUCUUUAUAUAAGAACCCAGGGCUCUGUUUCUCGAAAUCUUAACUAAAGAUAAAAUUCAAAUUUUAGUAGAUACUUCAAUUUUGAUUGGCUAAGUACUAAAAUCAAUCUAAUUACUAAAAUUUGGAUUUUUAUCGUAGUUAAAAUUUAGUAAAACAGGCCCCAAAUUUAUUGUUUUAAAAUGUUCUUGUUGAUAUGGAAACCCAGAUUUUAAAAUGUACUUUUAUAUAUAUAGGAAUCCAGACUCAAGGUUUAAAAAUGUUUAUACAGCAACCUAUAUUUAUGAUUUUAAAAAAUGUGAUUGUUUAUAUGGGAACCCAGUGUUAAUCUUCAAUAUUGCUCCUAUUUGAAAUAUUUAAUUGUUAUUUAUUUUU